rnacentral:rRNA from 1 species
AACGCUGUGGGCGUGUCUAUUACAUGCGCAACGAGAGCGGACAUAAGGAGCUUGGCUCCUGGACGUUAGCGGCGGACGGGUGAGUAACACGUGGGCAACCUGCCCCUUAGACUGGGAUAACUCCGGGAAACCGGAGCUAAUACCGGAUAAUCCCUUUCUCCACCUGGAGAGAGGGUGAAAGAUGGCUUCGGCUAUCACUAGGGGAUGGGCCCGCGGCGCAUUAGCUAGUUGGUAAGGUAACGGCUUACCAAGGCGACGAUGCGUAGCCGACCUGAGAGGGUGAUCGGCCACACUGGGACUGAGACACGGCCCAGACUCCUACGGGAGGCAGCAGUAGGGAAUCUUCCGCAAUGGACGAAAGUCUGACGGAGCAACGCCGCGUGAGUGAGGAAGGCCUUCGGGUCGUAAAGCUCUGUUGUGAGGGAAGAAGCGGUACCGUUCGAAUAGGGCGGUACCUUGACGGUACCUCACCAGAAAGCCAC